GGGUUGUGAGGUUAAGCGACUAAGCGUACACGGUGGAUGCCCUGGCAGUCAGAGGCGAUGAAGGGCGUGCUAAUCUGCGAUAAGCGCCGGUAAGGUGAUAUGAACCGUUAUAACCGGCGAUACCCGAAUGGGGAAACCCAGUGUGACUCGUCACACUAUCAUUAACUGAAUCCAUAGGUUAAUGAGGCGAACCGGGGGAACUGAAACAUCUAAGUACCCCGAGGAAAAGAAAUCAACCGAGAUUCCCCCAGUAGCGGCGAGCGAACGGGGAGGAGCCCAGAGCCUGAAUCAGCAUGUGUGUUAGUGGAAGCGUCUGGAAAGGCGCGCGAUACAGGGUGACAGCCCCGUACACAAAAGCGCAUGUGCUGUGAGCUCGAUGAGUAGGGCGGGACACGUGGUAUCCUGUCUGAAUAUGGGGGGACCAUCCUCCAAGGCUAAAUACUCCUGACUGACCGAUAGUGAACCAGUACCGUGAGGGAAAGGCGAAAAGAACCCCGGCGAGGGGAGUGAAAAAGAACCUGAAACCGUGUACGUACAAGCAGUGGGAGCCCCACCACCAAAGCAUUCUCUGGUGUUGAAGGCCCUGCAAAGCAGCAUCGCGGUGGCGGAGCGUCGUUUGCGACGCCCAACACACAAAACAAGCGGUGAAUGCUUUGGGGUGGGGUGACUGCGUACCUUUUGUAUAAUGGGUCAGCGACUUAUAUUCUGUAGCAAGGUUAACCGAAUAGGGGAGCCGGAGGGAAACCGAGUCUUAAUUGGGCGUUAAGUUGCAGGGUAUAGACCCGAAACCCGGUGAUCUAGCCAUGGGCAGGUUGAAGGUUGGGUAACACUAACUGGAGGACCGAACCGACUAAUGUUGAAAAAUUAGCGGAUGACCUGUGGCUGGGGGUGAAAGGCCAAUCAAACCGGGAGAUAGCUGGUUCUCCCCGAAAGCUAUUUAGGUAGCGCCUCGUGAAUUCAUCUCCGGGGGUAGAGCACUGUUUCGGCUAGGGGGCCAUCCCGGCUUACCAACCCGAUGCAAACUGCGAAUACCGGAGAAUGUUAUCACGGGAGACACACGGCGGGUGCUAACGUCCGUCGUGAAGAGGGAAACAACCCAGACCGCCAGCUAAGGUCCCAAAGUCAUGGUUAAGUGGGAAACGAUGUGGGAAGGCCCAGACAGCCAGGAUGUUGGCUUAGAAGCAGCCAUCAUUUAAAGAAAGCGUAAUAGCUCACUGGUCGAGUCGGCCUGCGCGGAAGAUGUAACGGGGCUAAACCAUGCACCGAAGCUGCGGCAGCGAACGUAUCACCCAAGACAACUUUACGGAGUUGACGAUUGACGGAGCGAAGCGACGUCAAAGCGUUCAUUAAAGUCGAGUUGGCUUAGGGAUACGUUCGUUGGGUAGGGGAGCGUUCUGUAAGCCUGUGAAGGUGUGUCGUGAGGCAUGCUGGAGGUAUCAGAAGUGCGAAUGCUGACAUAAGUAACGAUAAAGCGGGUGAAAAGCCCGCUCGCCGGAAGACCAAGGGUUCCUGUCCAACGUUAAUCGGGGCAGGGUGAGUCGACCCCUAAGGCGAGGCCGAAAGGCGUAGUCGAUGGGAAACGGGUUAAUAUUCCCGUACUUGGUGUUACUGCGAAGGGGGGACGGAGAAGGCUAUGUUGGCCGGGCGACGGUUGUCCCGGUUUAAGCGUGUAGGUGUGUGUUCCAGGUAAAUCCGGUUCACUUUAACACUGAGGCGUGACGACGAGGCACUACGGUGCUGAAGCAACAAAUGCCCUGCUUCCAGGAAAAGCCUCUAAGCAUCAGGUAACAUCAAAUCGUACCCCAAACCGACACAGGUGGUCAGGUAGAGAAUACCAAGGCGCUUGAGAGAACUCGGGUGAAGGAACUAGGCAAAAUGGUGCCGUAACUUCGGGAGAAGGCACGCUGACACGUAGGUGAAGUGAUUUACUCAUGGAGCUGAAGUCAGUCGAAGAUACCAGCUGGCUGCAACUGUUUAUUAAAAACACAGCACUGUGCAAACACGAAAGUGGACGUAUACGGUGUGACGCCUGCCCGGUGCCGGAAGGUUAAUUGAUGGGGUCAGCGCAAGCGAAGCUCCUGAUCGAAGCCCCGGUAAACGGCGGCCGUAACUAUAACGGUCCUAAGGUAGCGAAAUUCCUUGUCGGGUAAGUUCCGACCUGCACGAAUGGCGUAAUGAUGGCCAGGCUGUCUCCACCCGAGACUCAGUGAAAUUGAACUCGCUGUGAAGAUGCAGUGUACCCGCGGCAAGACGGAAAGACCCCGUGAACCUUUACUAUAGCUUGACACUGAACAUUGAGCCUUGAUGUGUAGGAUAGGUGGGAGGCUUUGAAGUGUGGACGCCAGUCUGCAUGGAGCCGACCUUGAAAUACCACCCUUUAAUGUUUGAUGUUCUAACGUGGACCCGUAAUCCGGGUUGCGGACAGUGUCUGGUGGGUAGUUUGACUGGGGCGGUCUCCUCCUAAAGAGUAACGGAGGAGCACGAAGGUUGGCUAAUCCUGGUCGGACAUCAGGAGGUUAGUGCAAUGGCAUAAGCCAGCUUGACUGCGAGCGUGACGGCGCGAGCAGGUGCGAAAGCAGGUCAUAGUGAUCCGGUGGUUCUGAAUGGAAGGGCCAUCGCUCAACGGAUAAAAGGUACUCCGGGGAUAACAGGCUGAUACCGCCCAAGAGUUCAUAUCGACGGCGGUGUUUGGCACCUCGAUGUCGGCUCAUCACAUCCUGGGGCUGAAGUAGGUCCCAAGGGUAUGGCUGUUCGCCAUUUAAAGUGGUACGCGAGCUGGGUUUAGAACGUCGUGAGACAGUUCGGUCCCUAUCUGCCGUGGGCGCUGGAGAACUGAGGGGGGCUGCUCCUAGUACGAGAGGACCGGAGUGGACGCAUCACUGGUGUUCGGGUUGUCAUGCCAAUGGCACUGCCCGGUAGCUAAAUGCGGAAGAGAUAAGUGCUGAAAGCAUCUAAGCACGAAACUUGCCCCGAGAUGAGUUCUCCCUGAGACUUAGAGUCUCCUGAAGGAACGUUGAAGACGACGACGUUGAUAGGCCGGGUGUGUAAGCGCAGCGAUGCGUUGAGCUAACCGGUACUAAUGAACCGUGAGGCUUAACCUUACAACGCCGAAG
rnacentral:rRNA from 3 species